UAUGUGCUCUUUGACGUGGAUUAGAUAUCGCUUAGGUUUAGGUUAGAUUUAUCUAUGGACUCCCAUUGGAGUAAUUAUACAUAUAGGUACAAUGCCAUCGGUUCCAAUAUUUAAGGAUAUUGAUUAACAAAUGAUAUCAGUCGGAUUUUUUCUUUUAAUACAUUUACCUAGGAUAGGUUCAUCCAAAUUUUUUGGAUGCUUCAUUUGAUGACAGUUUCAAAAGGAAGAUGGAAGCAUAAGAACUUGUUUGCAGGGAAGAGCUGAGUUGUUAUUUGAAAUACAUAAACUUAAAAUUUUUGCUUUAUUUUGUGCCGGGUGAGAAUAUCUCUGUAGUUGUGGAAUACAAAGGGACAGUUUCUUUUAUUACCUAGAACCCAGAAGAGCCAAUCAAAUGGAAAAUAAGAAAUAAAAAUAAUAAUAGACUCUGAAACAAGAUACAUUUGGAGUAUUGUGGUAUUUUAAUAAUAGUCUGUUUUCGACAGAACAAUUGAUAAGAAUUGAUCUUCCAGUGUCAACUAGAAUUUCUUUACUCUUGUAUAAAACGCUAUUAGAUAAAGCCCCAGUUUCUCAAGGACACCGUAUGUUCAGUGACUAUUAUACAAGCUGUUCUUUGCCCAAAAAAUUAUACAAGAUGAAGUGUUAUUUAACCAAACAAAUUCAAAGGAAGUAUUCAAACAAAUAGAAAAAGAUUGCCAUAAAAGAUAAAGUAGAAUGAAAUAUCUAUAAUAGCAUCUUAACAUUUAGCCAACCGCGCGCGCCAGAGCGAGCUAUUUCCACCGCCCUCGGACAAGCUAACCUAUACGCUGUCCACCGCGCAUUUUUCCAAAUAUCAAGAACUAAUAUUCACUACUUAAAAAACAAAGAAGUCUAAAAAUUAUUUGUGGUUAAUUAUAUUUUGCGGUAAUAAUUUUAUUUAACGAUUUCAUAUAUUGUUUAUAUGAAACAUCAAAUUAAAAAUAUAUACUAAAAGUAUAAAAAAAUGUAAACAAUAACUAAUAAUAAUAACAACAACAAAAUGAAAACUUGUUGCUAAAAUCAAAAAGGAUGAUCUUCUCAUUUGGUCACCCAGUGAUGUUCUUCACAGAGGGGAGAUCUCUCUGUUCAGUUGGCUAAGUGUUAAGGAAAUAUACUUUGAUCCUGGUUUUGGAAAAUAAGCAAAUUACAGCAAUGUUGGCAAAUUGUGACAUUGGUGGAACAAGUUCUGUCAAAAGGAUACUAUGGGAUGGUACUGAAAUUAUUGUAGAAAUAUCUAAUAUUCUAUAUUACUUAAAAUUUAUGGAUGGUGUCGAUUAAGCAGACCAAUACAGUUUAACAUAUUCCUUCAUGAGAAAAACUUUUGAGUAAUGGUAUAAGCUAUUUUUUGAAAGAUUAGAAAUAUCUAUUAUCCUGUAUAGAAAUUCAUACACAUUAUAUAAGUUUGUAAAAAAGCAAAGAAACAAAUGUCCACUUA